UCCUUCGGGAUAAAGAUUUAUCGCCCAAAGAUGAGUCCGCGUACGAUUAGCUAGUUGGUGAGGUAAUGGCUCACCAAGGCGACGAUCGUUAGCUGGUCUGAGAGGACGACCAGCCACACUGGGACUGAGACACGGCCCAGACUCCUACGGGAGGCAGCAGUGGGGAAUUUUGGACAAUGGGCGCAAGCCUGAUCCAGCAAUGCCGCGUGCAGGAUGAAGGCCU
rnacentral:rRNA from 1 species